GAAGAACCUUGCCAAGGCUUGACAUAUACGAGAAAAGGGCCAGAAAUGGUCAACUCUUUGGACACUCGUAAACAGGUGGUGCAUGGUUGUCGUCAGCUCGUGUCGUGAGAUGUUGGGUUAAGUCCCGCAACGAGCGCAACCCUCGUUCUAUGUUGCCAGCACGUAAUGGUGGGAACUCAUGGGAUACUGCCGGGGUCAACUCGGAGGAAGGUGGGGAUGACGUCAAAUCAUCAUGCCCCUUAUGUCUUGGGCUUCACGCAUGCUACAAUGGCCGGUUCUUUACCUCCAAUCCGUGAGGUGGAGCGAAUCCCAAAAAGC
rnacentral:rRNA from 1 species